AGUUGACUGUGUUGGAGGCCGAAAUAAGCCUCACUGGUAAAGACUGGCAAAAACAUCCUAUUGUAACUGGUCCAGGGGCUCUGUGUACACUCGGCAUUGAUUACCUCAGGAGGGGACGUUUCAAGGAUCCCAAAGGGUAUCGAGGGGCCUUUGGAAUAGCUGCUGUAGACACAGAGCUACUUCCCUCCACUUACCUUCUCUACCGCUUCUCUACCGCUACAGCACUACUCCAGUGCUUCUCCCCUUUCACAUCAAAAUUCCUCUCUUAGGGUGUACAAAGAGUGUUUCACCACCAUUCCCACUACUCUCUUGUGAGAUGUAUAGAUAGAAUCCUAGUAGAUCAUCCCUCCAAAAGGGGCGGACCUUUCCUGUACUGCUGCUGUUUGCCAUCCCCAUGCUCUCAUAUUAUUUCAGGCCAGGCAAAUGGCAUGCUUCCACCCCAUCAGUCCCACACAGUGAGAUUCUUAGGUCUCCUUGUCCUGUCCUUCCUGUACCAGGAACAAUGAAUGGGCAACAUCUUCCUCACUCACUUCAGCCUGGGGACCCCAUGUGGCUGACACCCCCCCUGAUUCUUGUCACACUUUUUGGUGUGUGUUUGUUUUGACAGUCACAGAAAUGUUAGGUGUUCCUUUCAAGGCAGUAGAUGUUCACAAACAUAAUUUAAAAUGUUUUGUUAAUGAAUUCUUCACAGUGACUCCUUACCUCUCUGACUCUACAGGGAAAAAUCCCUUCUGAACUUGGAAAUAAUGUUAUUGUGAGGGGAAAAAAAGCUGAUGCCUGGUAGCCCCGUCUCAUCUAUUCUCACAGGCUCCUGUUGUGUCACCUGGUUCAAGACUCAGCAGACAGUGAUAUCCCACUGUAGCUCUGUAUUCCCCGAAUUUAAUCUGCAGUUUUUUCACUUUUUUGACCACACCCUGGUCAAGGCCACAGCAGUGCCUGAGCUGCUCCACCAGGUAACAGCACACAGCUGGGAUCUGAGUGCAGCUGCACCUCUUUCACCUGUUUUUAGCCUGACUGAUUCAUUUCACACACAAAAAAAUGUUAUGAAAAUGAGUAUUUUUAACUAUCUCUUUCUCAAGUGAAGUACCAAUAAUAUUUGAAGUUUUAUAGGAGCAAUUGAGAGAGAAUUUUUGUAGCUGUGAAGUAAGGAGUAGAUCCCCCAGGUGACAUCUGCACCUGCUGUGUUGUUCCUGGGGCUGUGGCAUGUUGUACCAACACACCUGCUAUGGAAAACCUCCAUAGGUUUGUUCUGUGUAUUUGAUUAUUUAUACAAUUUCUCACCAGCUUUUGACAAAGGCGUUGUUCCAAUUGUCCUUCCCGACUGUAUCUUGCAUGUGUAUUAAUCCAAGCUUCUCACAGAGAGGAGUCUUGCACCUGCAGAACCUACUCAGCUGUAGUGGAAGGCAUAGGGCUGCAUCUGACUGGACCUGAAAGUGGGGGAAAGUGGAUGUCACAGUGGAAGAGGAGGACCUGAGGAGUGCUAGUCUUUCUCCUUGGAAUUGUUCUUAUUGCCCAUCACCAACAGGAAUGAAUGAGAAUCACUUCUAAUCCAGCUCUUCUUUCUCAUUUCUGUAGCAACAUCAAUCCUGAUUUGGAUUUUCAUCCUGGAGUGGCAAAAUUCAAGUUCUCCUACUUUUCUGACAAAUUUUAUCACAUGGCUGAGAUAGAAUCAGAUGCUCCUGGAAGUGAAGAGCUGAAAGUCUUGGCUUUCUUUUUCUUUAGAGCUAUUUCUGCUAGGAGAGCCCUAGCUAGCCUUAUGUUCAGCAGCCCUAUCUCUCCAUACCUAUUUCAAAGUGUGUAAUUCCUCUUGUAAAGGGAGCAUAGAAACUUUCUAGUCUUGGGUUGUACUUGAAUUUAGAUGUCUUCAUCCUCUAGUAAACAUAACAUAUACUGACUAAUAUCAAAAUACACUGAUGUAUUUUCUUAAGGCAUCCAUAUUUAUUUGUACAUACUGAAAGAAAAGCUUUCAUUCAGCUGCAUCAGUCCUACUGGGCUUUAACCACUGGGACUUUUCUGAGGACAUACUUAUGUUUCUUCAAGAUCAGGACUCAGAUCUUCAGGAAAUGACUGAAAUUGUUACACAGAUGACAUGGGAAAUUUUUUAAGUUAUUAUAUUUUCUGUUACAAAUUCAAGAAUUGUUAUUUCCUUCUACGUACUGUUUUUAUAUGUGACACUGUCCUUACAGUUGGUGGACACUGUUUUGAUGAUUUUGUUGAAGAAGUUAAGUAUGUGUAUCGUCUAAUACUUUGUAUUCUUGUAGAUAAUGAAUUUAUGCCUAUUCAGUUUCCAUUUCUGGAAUCAUACUGACAAAUGUUUGAUUAGAUUUGACAGAGGAAAAUGAAUUAUACUUGACAUAAAGUGUCAAUAUAAUACUGUCAAUAAUUUUAUGUAUAGCUGAGCAGAUAAUUUACCUGUUUUCAACUAUAUCCGUUUAUUUCCUGUUUAUGAUUAUAAAUAAAUUUCAGAUGCUUAUCCUCCUUUCCCCUCCUCUCCCCUUCUUUCUUCUCUCCUCUUCCACUCCCUUCCCCUUCCUUCCCCUUGCCUCUCCUUCCCUUUUCUCGUCUCUCGUUGUCUCUCCUCACCUCUUGCUUUGCUCCACCUUGCAUUGCAUCUCUUUUCUCUGUUCUCACCUUUGCUGACAAACCCUGGAGAGUUUUUGAAAUACAGAAUUUAACAACACCAAAAACUUGUAUUUCCCAAUAUAGUGAGAAAAAAAAUAAAUUUUUAUUAUUGCAUAUUCAGCAUUUAAUGAAAAAAAGGAAGAAACUACAGUUUAACUAAAAAGUGUUCACAGCAUCUAUAAAAAUCCUACUUAAAUGGACAAAAAUGUUUGUAUUGUAUGUGAGUGCUCAUAGGUAUCUUCAGCAGAGUGUUAGAUACCUAUAUUAUGGCAACACACAAAUGUGAAUCAAUUUUAAGGUAGUACAAUAUUAUUAAUAGACAAACACUACUUUUCUAUUUAUGGUUAAAUUAUAGAAUGAGAGAUUAGAUGUAACUGCCCAGUACUUCACCCAUCGAAACAAACUGUUAAUGACAAUGCAUUUGUCAAGAGUUUUCGUCCAGCAUUAAUAAGUAAUGAGUAUGCGGAACGGAAACUUUAAGUACAUUGCAUUUCUCUGAAAUUUCCAAGCUUAAUGCAGUAACAGCACCUCAUAACUUGUUUUAUUGGGACAGAAAAAUUAAAUCAAUUGGUAAAUAGGCAUGACACUAUGUUCUGAUCAGUUUCAAGUUGAGGAACUUUGAAUAAACAACAAACGAUUCUGGAGAAAAGGAGAAAAAUUAACCUUUCUUAAGGACACAGUUCUCACUGUCCGAAAAACUGUCAGUGACUUUAUCUCCAGUAUGGAUGGCUGCAUCUGUUAUGGUUUAGCAGCUUGAAAAAAGAUCCUAAGGGUUGGAUUUCUGGAUGCAAACAUUUAAAAUCUUCCAUUCUUUUUACUCUGACACACAAUAAGUCUUUAGUUAUUUCUUUUCACUUCUUUUUUUUUCUUUUUUUUUUCAAGUUUUUGCUUUUGUUUAGAUUUGUACUUUCUCAGACGUGAUACAAAAAUUUUUAUAUGCAGAAUUGCAACAAAGACAGUGGGAGCUGUCAACUUAACCAAAGGCCUCUAAGUCUUAAGUAUUUGAGUGUGUCUUCAAGCGAUUCCAUACAGUGUGGAAGAAAAUUCCCUGAACCUAAGCAAUAUUUAAAUUACUGCAAAAAAGCAUUAGGAAAAGCAAGGUUGUUCUUUUGGCUUUAUACAGAACAUAAUUAUCCCAGGUAAGAAGACUGGCUGUUCUCUUGGGAUCAAGUUUGAACUUUCACUUUCUUUGGCAAAGGGAGCUCAUGUAUAAUGAACGCUGAUAUCAUUAAAUGAAACACUGAUUCCCUCUUCAGUGUGAUUUCAGAAACGCACUGAAAAAAAAAAGAGAAAAAAAUGAGAAAAAAAAAUGAGAAAAUCAAGAAAUCAACUUCCCUAGGCUUCAAAGGAAGUUGUGAAUGGAAAAGCAAUGGUGCUU